UGCUCUUAUGAAGUUAGCGGCGGACGGGUGAGUAACACGUGGGUAACCUACCCAUAAGACUGGGAUAACUCCGGGAAACCGGGGCUAAUACCGGAUAAUAUUUUGAACUGCAUAGUUCGAAAUUGAAAGGCGGCUUCGGCUGUCACUUAUGGAUGGACCCGCGUCGCAUUAGCUAGUUGGUGAGGUAACGGCUCACCAAGGCAACGAUGCGUAGCCGACCUGAGAGGGUGAUCGGCCACACUGGGACUGAGACACGGCCCAGACUCCUACGGGAGGCAGCAGUAGGGAAUCUUCCGCAAUGGACGAAAGUCUGACGGAGCAACGCCGCGUGAGUGAUGAAGGCUUUCGGGUCGUAAAACUCUGUUGUUAGGGAAGAACAAGUGCUAGUUGAAUAAGCUGGCACCUUGACGGUACCUAACCAGAAAGCCACGGCUAACUACGUGCCAGCAGCCGCGGUAAUACGUAGGUGGCAAGCGUUAUCCGGAAUUAUUGGGCGUAAAGCGCGCGCAGGUGGUUUCUUAAGUCUGAUGUGAAAGCCCACGGCUCAACCGUGGAGGGUCAUUGGAAACUGGGAGACUUGAGUGCAGAAGAGGAAAGUGGAAUUCCAUGUGUAGCGGUGAAAUGCGUAGAGAUAUGGAGGAACACCAGUGGCGAAGGCGACUUUCUGGUCUGUAACUGACACUGA
rnacentral:rRNA from 1 species